rnacentral:lncRNA from 1 species
CGCUGCUCGUGGUGGCCACGCUGAUCACGGCGCUCGCCUACGUUCUCGGCCUCAGCAUGCCCGGCGGCUACUGGCAGGGCACGCAGUUGAGGGACGACGGCAGGAUUGUGCACCUCGCCGGCGACCCCAUCAUGCGCGACCUGCACCGGCCGAGGUACUGGGUGUUCAGGGUCGCGAGCUGGGUCGGGGUCGCGAGCUCCAUGGUGAUGACGCUGAGCCUGCUCGUGCGGAUGGCCGUGGACUCGCGCCACGUGCUGUGGUCGUUCUCCGUGGCCUUCUCCAGCCUCGUGCUCACCUUCAUCGUGUCGCAGUCCAGGACGAACCUGUCGCUGGACAUCCUCGUCUGGCUCGCGGUGCUCAUCUUGACCUGGCUCAUCAUCGGCCUCCACCCGGACAGCCGGGCGCGCGUCAUCUGGGCGAUCUUCUGCGGCAACCGCGGCAACUGAAAUAAAGAAACAUCUUUCCUUUUUAUUUAUAUGAUUGUAUUGUAUCUGAGUUUUUGUGUACGGUUCGUCCCGAAGCUGGCUCAUGCACUGAAACUAAAUUGCUUCCGUAUUGGUAGUGCGAUGUUUGAUUGGCUUUUCUCAGUCACUGAACUCAAUGUAAUUUUUUUUUCGAGUAACUCAAUGUAAAUUUUUAUCCAAUUAUCCAUACAUAUUGUGGCUAAAUUUGACUCGCGAGGUGUGUGAAAUGGAAUUAGAGACGCACACAAUCAACACAUACCACGCAACACCACCGUGUCCAUACACCUCAUACACACCCUAAAAAUAAAUUAGAGACACACGAGACCUCGCACAUACGGAUCGUCAACAUCAAGUCCCUGGUUGUACUACUUGCCAUAUGGACACAUGCAAGCUUCCAGCUUCCAUUCCAGGACUCCUGCACACGUAAUUUCAAUAAAACUGGAUAUUGUGAAUUGUGAGGUAGCAACUAUCCUUACCUAUUUGCAUGAUUGUUGAGGUAGAUUUCAUGAUUGUCGUUUGGUUUUCAAAAUUUGUUGAACCAAUCAAAUAUUCUUGAAAUGCUUUAAAUUUCUAAUUUGCAUUUUACAAUUGUUUCUAGCUUUUCUAAUUAAAAAAGUUAUUUAAAUGACUCUCUUUAUAAAAAAGAACUGCGGUAGGGGUGUUUUGGUUCUGAAAAAUUAUUGAACUAGAUGUGUAAGAAAUAGUUGACAUAUUUUAGAUAUUAUUGAACUAGACUUGGGAAUGGUUGCCAGGUUCUAAAAAAUUCUUGAACAAGGUGCCAAAUGAAAUAUGUUGACACGCUUUCUGCAAUAGUCUCGUGAUCAUUAUCUGAACAACUACGAAACUGGAGAUUUCUAACUAGAAAUAACAAUAGCACUUCAAGCAGUUAGAAAAGUUGAUACACAUAUCUAGGUGCAUAUUUUGUUAUGUAUCUAAAAAAUCAAAACGAAUAGUAAUUCGGGAGGGAGUAUUAGCGGUUAUACAAUGGUUGAUAACAAUUAACUGGAUUAGCUGGUGAACUCAGCCGAACAACUCUCAAAGCAAGUCAUUCAUAACCAUGAGAAAAGUCGCAGACAAGAAACUUGGCAUGAAAGCUGUGCAAAGUAGGCUGAGCAAUCGAGUACAAUCAUCGCUAUGUAUAUAGAUACACGGCAAUCGGCAUGAUUAUAUUAGGCGUAAAUUUGCACCUCCUCCACUUUGAUGAGAACUACAAAAUUUCGUAGAAUUUUUCAGAUUUUACAAUUCCUUGGUUGCUUGAAAUAUUCUUCUGUUCCACAGCUAGGAUAAUAACUAGGUUUAUAAGUAACAAUAUUUCAAGAAAAGUGAAGUGAAAAAUAUUUCAACAAUAUUCCACCACGUUGUUUUUGUUUUAUUGUGUUCCUAAACUAAGUAAAGUGAAAAGGGGUGUCUUUUUUGGGAAAGGAACAGUAGUACAAGAAAACAACAAAGAAAACCUUUGCUCGGUCUGGAUGACUGAAUGCUGGUGGAGCUUAGCCUUGGCAGCUACGGUGCAGCCGCCAUAGCAAAGGAAUCAUUGCCUUUCCAUCUCACACCAACCCAUGAAACCUCGUUCCGUUUGCAUCAACGAAUUAGCCUAAGACCACCGCCAAUAUAUAAUAUCAAUAGCUAAUACUUAAUCUCCACGACAUGUGUUCACUGUUCAGUCUCGGAGGAGAAAGGAGGGAGACCAACUGAUGGAUGCGUAGUUGCAAUUGCAAAAGGAUAGAGCCAUAAAAGAGUUAAAGAGGAGACCGAGCUUCAUAGUAAACGGUACAGCAGGGUUGGAAGGUCCUUGAGCCUACGCUUUGGUCAAUCACACACCAAACAAUCCAUGAUUACGCCAGCACUGCAUGGACCCUCUGAAAUGCUAGGGAGACACACCAUUGGUACUAGGUUUAUUCAGUCUCAAAUCCUCAACUCUCAGGAGUCAUACAAAGAAUCUUGGUUACAUGUGUUGUUAUUUGUGAACUGAUCCAGUGUGCAUCGUCUUGCUGUAAGCUAGCUGAAGCAACAUUUGCAUGGGUAACCGGUAAACCAAGGCCAAGGUAAAGACUGCUCACUAUUUCCUUUUAUUUUCUGAACCUCUGCUCGUUACGACAGUUGAUGAUUUAACUGCAUUUACAGUUGAUUCUUGCACACUCUGUAACAUUAAUAUAAUACUAUAUUUUCACAAAGAUAUUUGCCUAUAAUCGUGGGUACUGAGAAGGUGUUCGCGUGGCCUUAUUUGAGGUGCGUGGCAGUUGAACGUUUCAGCGCACCGUGUUCCUUCGCAAGUGGCAAAAGCGACCGGGGUAGGGGAAAAAAAUGACUUGACCUGUAGGGAGCUGGGGACACUGAGAGAGUAGCAUACGCCUAUUGUUCAUACCCCAGUGGCAGGCUUAGAGUAGCAUGUGUGUGUAUAUAUGUUCCCUCAUUUGUUCGCUUCACUCGAACCACACCCAGCGCCAUUUCGCCUGAUCAAUACUCAAUAGUGUAGUGUGCCCAUGGAUCACUACCCGCCGCCGCCGCCCCUGCACACAAGUGCUCCGCCCACACCGGGCAACGGCAACCGGGAGACGGGCCACGUUGCUGUGCACCCGCCGCCGCCGCCGCCGACGGCGCUGGCGCGGGGCCUGCCCGUGAGCCAGCAGCAGCUCGGCGGGGAGCAUGACCUUGACCCCAACGCGCUGCUGGUGGGGGCCACGCUGAUCACGAUGCUCGCCUACCUGCUCGGCACCUUCAUCCCCGGCGGCUACUGGCAGCAGGACUGGAGCGACGACGGCAAGCGGGUGCUCUACCGCGCCGGCGACCCCAUCAUGCGCGACCUGCACCGGCCGAGGUACUGUGUGUUCCGGAUCGCGAGCUGGGUCGGGGUCGCGAGCUCCAUGGUGAUGACGCUGAGCCUGCUCGUGCGGAUGGCCCCGGACUCGCGCCACGUCCGGUGGUCGUUCGCGGUGUCCUACUCCAGCCUGCUGCUCAC